AAAUAUUAUUGCUCUUCCAGAAUUUGUCCAGCAGGUUUUCCGGUUUUUAUCAGAAACCAACCCCU